AGUGAACGCUGGCGGCAUGCCUAACACAUGCAAGUCGAACGGCAGCACAGUAAGUGCUUGCUCUUACUGGUGGCGAGUGGCGGACGGGUGAGGAAUACAUCGGAAUCUACUUUUUCGUGGGUGAUAACGUAGGCAAACUUACGCUAAUACCGCAUACGACCUCCUGGUGAAUGCACCCGAUCUUCCGACCCUUCGCGAUUGAAUGAGCCGAUGUCGGAGUAGCUAGUUGGCGGGUGAAAGGCCCACCAAGGCUACAAUCCGUAGCUGGUCUGAGAGGAAGAUCAGCCACACUGGAAGUGAGACACGGCCCAGACUCCUACGGGAGGCAGCAGUGGGGAAUAUUGGACAAGGGGCGAAAGCCGGAUCCAGCAAUACCGCGUGGGUGAAGAAGGCCUUCGGGUUGUAAAGCCCUUUUGUUCGGAAAGAAAAGCAGCAGGUUAAUACGGCGGUGUUCUGACGGUACCCGAAGAAUAAGCACCGGCUAACUACGUG
rnacentral:rRNA from 1 species